rnacentral:tRNA from 1 species
CGGGCCGUAGCUUAGCUUGGUAGAGCGCUUGGAUGGGGUCCAAGAGGUCGUGGGUUCAAAUCCCGCCGGCCCGA